GCUGUGAUGGCCGAGUGGUUAAGGCGUUGGAUUCGAAAUCCAAUGGGUUCAGCCCGCGUAGGUUCAAAUCCUACUCACAGCG